UUUCUGUUCCUAGAAGAAAAAGCAACCUUGUUCCUCCCUCUCCCACACUGCCUUCAUCCCCCCACCCUCUGCUGCUCCCAGAACCAGGACUCUUGUAUCUAGGCAGGAGCUGGUGACUCCGGCCCCACACUUCUCAAGGCCUUAUGCCAGCUGUAGCUCUUACCUCCCUGACACUAUAGAGCAGGCACCUGUACCCACAGAGGAUAAGGCACCUCAGCAGGUUAAGGUGCCUUGAAGACUCUUCUGAAGGAAUGAGGAAUCAGAGAAGACAGAAUCCCGUUCACCAUCCAGCCUGAGUAACGCAGGCUGCUGGAGGCAGUGAGGCAAACAGCUGACUCCAGACACCGGGCUUUUACACGCCCAUACUACAGAGACAUUCUGACGGCUCAUAGACACCUGCCUCAUGCUUUUCUAGUGCCUUCUCCACAGCCAGGAAGUUCUGCCAUCACAGUGAUGCCUGGACCUGGUCCCUGCUCUGUGGAACCCUGCAGGAGUUCUCCAGUGCCUUCCAUGUCAAGUUCGGCCUUUCCCGAUGGAGUGCCUUUGCUGUCCUGCAGACUCACCUCCCUUCUUGCCAUCCACUCCUCCCUCAUCAGCCCCUCUACCCACAUAUCCAGCCUCCGUUCUGCACUCCCCCUGGACCUCCCUGCCUGCGGUCCAGACCCAGCUGAAGGGUUCCUCCUCUGGGAGCUCACAGUACUUUGCCAUUCUCUACAUCUUGGAACUUCUCAACUGCAAUGGCUUUAACCUGUUACCUAGAACUCCCUUAUUAAAAAACCCCCAAGUUACAUGUAAAUGACAUUUGCAGGUUGCCUUUCAGAGUCAAUUAGGAAAAGAUAAGGUCAUGGAUUAGGCCCUCUCCAAUGCCUCUGACAUGAGAGGAAGGGGCAAGACCUGAGCUAGGCUGCUUGCUCUGCCUGGGCCAGGGAUGUUCUCUACCACAUCAUGAACCUGCAGAG
rnacentral:lncRNA from 1 species